UACGUAGGUGGCAAGCGUUGUCCGGAAUUAUUGGGCGUAAAGCGCGCGCAGGCGGUCCUUUAAGUCUGAUGUGAAAGCCCACGGCUCAACCGUGGAGGGUCAUUGGAAACUGGGGGACUUGGGUACAGAAGAGAAGAGUGGAAUUCCACGUGUAGCGGUGAAAUGCGUAGAGAUGUGGAGGAACACCAGUGGCGAAGGCGACUCUUUGGUCUGUAACUGACGCUGAGGCGCGAAAGCGUGGGGAGCAAACAGG
rnacentral:rRNA from 1 species